AGUGAACGCUGGCGGUAGGCCUAACACAUGCAAGUCGAACGGCAGCACAGUAAGAGCUUGCUCUUACGGGUGGCGAGUGGCGGACGGGUGAGGAAUACAUCGGAAUCUACUUUUUCGUGGGGGAUAACGUAGGGAAACUUACGCUAAUACCGCAUACGACCUACGGGUGAAAGCAGGGGAUCUUCGGACCUUGCGCGAUUGAAUGAGCCGAUGUCGGAUUAGCUAGUCGGCGGGGUAAAGGCCCACCAAGGCGACGAUCCGUAGCUGGUCUGAGAGGAUGAUCAGCCACACUGGAACUGAGACACGGUCCAAACUCCUACGGGAGGCAGCAGUGGGGAAUAUUGGACAAUGGGCGCAAGCCUGAUCCAGCCAUACCGCGUGGGUGAAGAAGGCCUUCGGGUUGUAAAGCCCUUUUGUUGGGAAAGAAAAGCAGCAGGUUAAUACCCCGCUGUUCUGACGGUACCCAAAGAAUAAGCACCGGCUAACUUCGU
rnacentral:rRNA from 1 species